rnacentral:rRNA from 1 species
UGGGAAGUAUUGCACAAUGGCGGCAAGCCUGAUGCAGCCAUGCCGCGUGUAUGAAGAAGGCCUUCGGGUUGUAAAGUACUUUCAGCGGGAGGAAGGAGUAAGGUUAAUAACCUUAUUCAUUGACGUUACCCGCAGAAGAAGCACCGGCUAACUCCGUGCCAGCAGCCGCGGUAAUACGGAGGGUGCAAGCGUUAAUCGGAAUUACUGGGCGUAAAGCGCACGCAGGCGGUCUGUCAAGUCGGAUGUGAAAUCCCCGGGCUCAACCUGGGAACUGCAUUCGAAACUGGCAGGCUGGAGUCUUGUAGA